AUCACUUGUUUUGGUUGAAAUUAACAGAUACUCUACCGAUUGAAAAUAAGAUGGAUCUUUACAUGCUAAAAUUACUGUUUAUUAAUUUGGGUUCUGGUGGGUUGAGCCAUACCGAUCUAUGAGGUUUCUUGUUUUAAAAAAAGCUGAUUUUACUCUAAAGAAAAUCCUCUCUGUAGGGAUCCUUUAUUUUAUGUUGGCAAACACUUAGAAGAAUAAGCCUGUCCUUUGAACUGUUGCAGCUCUGAGAGCUGGGGUGUUUGUAGGUCUGUCUGCUUCGCUGCUGCUUGUCCUCUCUGUCAGCAUAGCUUACCUUUUGUGAAAUGCCACUAAUAAGACUUUGCUUUCAUUAGUAUAAAUUGCAUUUAUAAUAAACAUUCAGUGUAAUUAAUUGAGAACAUACUGUAGGGCUUUUUAUUUUGUAGCACAAGGGAAUGUGAGUUAAGAACAUGCCGUUGGUCAAUACUAUGGGAAUAAUAUAAACCAAAUAUCUUCAUAUAGUCAUAAUGGCCAGCGUGUGAUUUAAAAUUUGUUUUUCUUUUCUUUCUUUUUUUAAAGUGACAGCUUAAAUACACAUUUGCCUAGGUUUGGCACCUGUGAAUUUAAGUCCUUGAAUUUGUUUAACUUUUUACUGUUGUAACACAAAUUUCUGUUUCAGCUUUGGAUUCUGGAGAGUACAAAUAUAUUGGAGAAAUGCUCGCUUUUGCCAUUGUCCACGGAGGCAUCAGGCCGUCCUUUUUUUCAGAGCGUCUCUAAUGCAUGCUUGCCCAUUGUCCAACUCCACCAAUUAAGAUUGAGGAGGUGGAUGACAUGGAAAUUCAGGAGAAGUUGCAAAGGGUUGGAAGCGGAACUUCAGCAGUUUGGAAUUGCUGAGGCAAUAGCAAAGCAUCCGGAGGUAAUGAAACCUCUUUUUGUUGGAAGCCCCAAAGGUGUUGAUAUGGAAGACCUUCAGAACCUUUUCAUGACAUGAGACAUGAGAACCAGGCUUUCAUGUUCUGGAAAGACUGGCUCCUGGAGGUGGAUGAGGGAACUAGACCUGUGACCCUGCAACAAAUAUUAACAUUUGUCUCAGGGGUAGACACCAUUCCACUGCUUGGGUUUCCCUACCCACCACAGCUGGAAUUCUUGCAUGGCGACAAUGACAGUAGGAGAGUGUUCCCAGAGGCCAACACUUGUCAAGUUGUCUUAAGGCUGCCUCUGCACACCUCUUAUGACAACUUUAUCCAUUUCAUGGAGUCUGGGAUACUGCAGUCCCCGACUUUUGGAGUAAUCUAGUCAAUAUAUAUACAUAUACACAACGUACCACUUCCGAGUUUGUGCUGCCGGAUUUCAUUUUUUUCUUUUUCUUUUUCUCCCCUUUUCGGAUGCCUUCCGUUUUUUUUGUUGUAAUUUUAAA